UACGAAGGGGGCAAGCGUUGUUCGGAAUUACUGGGCGUAAAGGGCGCGUAGGCGGUGCUCUAAGUCAGGCGUGAAAGCCCUGGGCUCAACCCGGGAAUUGCGCUUGAUACUGGGGCGCUUGAAUCCAGGAGAGGUUGGUGGAAUUCCCAGUGUAGAGGUGAAAUUCGUAGAGAUUGGGAAGAACACCGGUGGCGAAGGCGGCCAACUGGACCAUAACUGACGCUGAUGCACGAAAGCUAGGGGAGCAAACAGG
rnacentral:rRNA from 1 species